GGUUUAAUUCGAAGCAACGCGAAGAACCUUACCAGGCCUUGACAUGCAGAGAACUUUCCAGAGAUGGAUUGGUGCCUUUCGGGAACUCUGACACAGGUGCUGCAUGGCUGUCGUCAGCUCGUGUCGUGAGAUGUUGGGUUAAGUCCCGUAACGAGCGCAACCCUUGUCCUUAGUUACCAGCACGUUAUGGUGGGCACUCUAAGGAGGACUGCCGGUGCAAACCGGAGGAAGGUGGAGAUGACGUCAAGUCAUCAUGGCCCUUACGGCCUGGGCUACACACGUGCUACAAUGGUCGGUACAAAGGGUUGCCAAGCCGCGAGGUGGAGCUAAUCCCAUAAAACCGAUCGUAGUCCGGAUCGCAGUCUGCAACUCGACUGCGUGAAGUCGGAAUCGCUAGUAAUCGUGAAUCAGAAUGUCACGGUGAAUACGUUCCCGGGCCUU
rnacentral:rRNA from 1 species